rnacentral:misc_RNA from 1 species
GAUGAAGAACGCAGCGAAAUGCGAUACUUGGUGUGAAUUGCAGAAUCCCGUGAACCAUCGAGUCUUUGAACGCAAGUUGCGCUCAAGCCAUUAGGUUGAGGGCACGUCUGCCUGGGCGUCACAUAUCGUUGCCUGAUGCCAGUUUCCUCGUGAUGGGUGACUGUGCAGGGCGAAUGAUGGCUUCCCGUGAGCAUUGUUGCCUCAUGGUUGGUUGAAAAUUGAGUCCUUGGUAGGGAGCGCCGUGAUAGAUGGUGGUUGAGUGACGAACGAGACCCAAUCAUGUGAGACCCCUACCGAAUUUGGCCUUCAUGACCCACAUGCGUCUUUGGAACGCUCAUGACGAGACCUCAGGUCAGGCGGGGCUACCCGCUGAGUUUAAGCAUAUCAAUAAGCGGAGGA